GAUGAACGCUAGCGGGAGGCUUAACACAUGCAAGUCGAGGGGCAGCACGAUGUAGCAAUACGUUGGUGGCGACCGGCGCACGGGUGAGUAACGCGUGGAUAAUCUGCCCUUAAGUGUGGAAUAACGUACCGAAAGGUGCGCUAAUACCGCAUAAUGCCUGGCAACACAAGUUGUCCGGCCAAAGAAGGCCUCUGUUUACAAGCUUUCGCUUCAGGAUGAGUCCGCGUACCAUUAGCUUGUUGGUGGGGUAAUGGCCUACCAAGGCUGCGAUGGUUAGCUGGUCUGAGAGGAUGAUCAGCCACACUGGAACUGAGACACGGUCCAGACUCCUACGGGAGGCAGCAGUGAGGAAUAUUGCGCAAUGGGGGCAACCCUGACGCAGCAACGCCGCGUGAGUGAGGAAGGUUUUCGGACUGUAAAGCUCUGUCGAGCGGGAAGAAGUGUACCAUGGCUAAUAUCCAUGAUAUUUGACGGUACCG
rnacentral:rRNA from 1 species